rnacentral:rRNA from 1 species
GGAAUCUUACCGGGACCGACAGCAAUAUGAAGGCCAGGCUGAAGACUUUGCCGGAUUAGCUGAGAGGUGGUGCAUGGCCGUCGUCAGUUCGUACUGUGAAGCAUCCUGUUAAGUCAGGCAACGAGCGAGACCCACGCCCACAGUUGCCAGCGUACUCUCCGGAGUGACGGGCACACUGUGGGGACCGCCGCUGCUAAAGCGGAGGAAGGAAUGGGCAACGGUAGGUCAGUAUGCCCCGAAUAUCCCGGGCUACACGCGAGCUACAAUGGUUGGUACAAUGGGUAUCUACCCCGAAAGGGGAUGGAAAUCUCCUAAAGCCAAUCUUAGUCCGGAUUGAGGGCUGCAACUCGCCCUCAUGAAGCUGGAAUCGCUAGUAAUCGCGGAUCAGCACGCCGCGGUGAAUACGUUCCCGGGCCUU